rnacentral:rRNA from 1 species
CACGUAGGGGGCAAGCGUUGUCCGGAUUUAUUGGGCGUAAAGAGCGUGUAGGCGGCUAGGUAGGUCCGUUGUGAAAACUCGAGGCUCAACCUCGAGACGCCGAUGGAAACCAUCUGGCUAGAGUCCGGAAGAGGAGAGUGGAAUUCCUGGUGUAGCGGUGAAAUGCGCAGAUAUCAGGAAGAACACCAGUGGCGAAGGCGGCUCACUGGCCCGGAACUGACGCUGAGGUGCGAAAGCGUGGGGAGCAAACAGG